rnacentral:lncRNA from 1 species
UGGCUGAGGAAGAGGCUGGGUGCAUCUUUGACACACCACAACCCCCAGGUUCAUCUGCCAGCAGCAGCAGCAGCAGCAGCGAGGGAAACAGCGACUCAGCUUCUUCCAGCUCAGAGGAGCUUGCUGCUGGGCAUACGGGGUUAUCUGAGGUCUCCAUCUAGCUCCAUUUACCCUCUCACUGUGCUUCUCCGGCUGGGGCGAAGAAAAUCCAGUCUCUCCAGAUUUCCACAGUACAACCAAUAUUGUUCUGGAAGAUGCCUUCCUGAGGCAGAAGCAGUGCAGGUUGGCCUGAAGCCCACACUCCUCCCGCUUCUUCCUGUCAAGCGCUGAGGUCCCAGAUGUGGACCACCAUGCCCAGCUCGGGCUUUCCUUCAAGGUUGGAAAGCACAGGACCGCCUUUCUGUCCUGAUGACAAGAGUUCCCGGAUGGCUUGGCAGUCCUUCCUUUCAUCUUCCGUGAGUGCUCCUUUCCCUUGGCGUGCCCAGGGCUUUUUCAGAAGCGUUGGCCUUGGAAGAGUGCCGUUCAGGGAACACAAACUCUUUCACUUAAACAAAACAAAACAAC